rnacentral:ncRNA from 1 species
UGUACACACCGCCCGUCACACCCUGGGAAUUGGUUUCGCCCGAAGCAUCGGACCAAUGAUCACCCAUGACUUCUGUGUACCACUAGUGCCACAAAGGCCUUUGGUGGUCUUAUUGGCGCAUACCACGGUGGGGUCUUCGAAUGGGGUGAAGUCGUAACAAGGUAGCCGUAGGGGAACCUGUGGCUGGAUUGAAUCCUUC